UACGGAGGGUGCAAGCGUUAUCCGGAUUCACUGGGUUUAAAGGGUGCGUAGGUGGAUUUAUAAGUCAGUGGUGAAAGCCCCGAGCUCAACUUGGGAAUUGCCAUUGAUACUGUAGAUCUUGAGUGCGGUUGAGGUAGGCGGAAUGUUACAUGUAGCGGUGAAAUGCUUAGAUAUGUAACAGAAACCCAUUUGCGAAGGCGGCUUACCAAGCCGAUACUGACACUGAGGCACGAAAGCGUGGGGAUCAAACAGG
rnacentral:rRNA from 1 species